UACGGGGGGGGCAAGCGUUGUUCGGAAUUACUGGGCGUAAAGGGCUCGUAGGCGGCCAACUAAGUCGGACGUGAAAUCCCUCGGCUUAACCGGGGAACUGCGUCCGAUACUGGAUGGCUUGAGUUCGGGGGAGGGAUGCGGAAUUCCAGGUGUAGCGGUGAAAUGCGUAGAUAUCUGGAGGAACACCGGUGGCGAAGGCGACAUCCUGGACCGGUAUUGACGCUGAGGCGCGAAAGCCAGGGGAGCAAACGGG
rnacentral:rRNA from 1 species